rnacentral:rRNA from 1 species
GACAGAGGUCUCGAGCGUUAGGCGGAAUCACUGGGCUUAAGGCGUGUGUAGGCGGAGUGCUAAGUACCUUGUGAAAUCCCACGGCUUAACCGUGGAACUGCUGGGUAUACUGGUUCUCUUGGGCCACUUAGGGGCUACCGGAACAAACGGUGGAGCGGUGAAAUGCGUAGAUAUCGGGAGGAACACCAAUUGCGAAGGCAGCUCGCUGGGACGUCACUGACGCUGAGACGCGAAAGCGUGGGGAGCAAACAGG